UUUCUUCCUUCUCUCCGUUCUCGGUUGCGCUCAAUAGGAGCUCCUGCGAGAAGGCUACAAUGGUGGAACUAUAGCACAGGCGCGAUCGCAACACAACUACGACCUACAGAGUCGCGAGCAAAGGAGGCGAGCAACCCGCAGAGUGCCUCAACUCGUUGUUUAGGCUUUUGGGAAAAAAUUAAGACGAUGUCAUGUUGGAAGCGAAGAAGUUGGUUUAUGAACUUCCAUAAGGGUCUUAAGCGACGAAAACAACGAAGAUAGGAAAUGAUUGAAUUGAUAAGAAGAGAGAAGAAGAUUUGGCUGCCUCGAAGAAUGGCAGGUUGCUGUGAAAGCUAUUUAAGGUUAUUUACUCAAGGCGGCAAGUUCAAUGCGAGCGUGUAGAAACUAGUGGUACGGAGACUAGAUUAAUUUCUGG